CCCUUAGAUGUUCUGGGCUGCACGCGCGCUACACUGAUGCGCUCAACGAGUUUUAACCUUGCCUGGAAAGGUUGGGUAAUCUUUUUAAAACGCAUCGUGAUGGGGAUAGAUUAUUGCAAUUAUUAAUCUUCAACGAGGAAUUCCUAGUAAGCGCGAGUCAUCAGCUCGUGCUGAUUACGUCCCUGCCCUUUGUACACACCGCCCGUCGCUCCUACCGAUUGGAUGUUCCGGUGAGGAUUCAGGACUUGAGAUUCAUUUCUGCUGCGGUUCUGCUGUAGUGGAAACUCUCGGGGAAUUUAUUCAAAUCUUAACAUUUAGAGGAAGGAGAAGUCGUAACA
rnacentral:rRNA from 1 species